rnacentral:rRNA from 1 species
UGGGGAAUCUUGCGCAAUGGGCGAAAGCCUGACGCAGCAACGCCGCGUGCGGGAAGAAGGUCUUCGGGUUGUAAACCGCUUUCAGUGGGGACGAAGGCGACCGGGUUAAUAGCCCGUGUCGUUGACGGUACCUACAGAAGAAGGUCCGGCUAACUACGUGCCAGCAGCCGCGGUAAUACGUAGGGACCGAGCGUUGUCCGGAAUCAUUGGGCGUAAAGAGCGUGUAGGCGGCUUGCUAAGUCUUGCGUGAAAUCUCGGGGCUCAACCCCGAGCGGUCGUGGGAAACUGGCAGGCUAGAGUGCGGGAGAGGAGAAUGGAAUUCCUGGUGUAGCGGUGAAAUGCGCAGAUAUCAGGAAGAACACCCGUGGCGAAGGCGGUUCUCUGGAACGCAACUGACGCUGAGACGCGAAAGCGUGGGGAGCAAACAG